rnacentral:rRNA from 1 species
ACGAACGCUGGCGGCGUGCUUAACACAUGCAAGUCGAACGGAAAGGCCCUGCUUUUGUGGGGUGCUCGAGUGGCGAACGGGUGAGUAACACGUGAGUAACCUGCCCUUGACUUUGGGAUAACUUCAGGAAACUGGGGCUAAUACCGGAUAGGAGCUCCUGCUGCAUGGUGGGGGUUGGAAAGUUUCGGCGGUUGGGGAUGGACUCGCGGCUUAUCAGCUUGUUGGUGGGGUAGUGGCUUACCAAGGCUUUGACGGGUAGCCGGCCUGAGAGGGUGACCGGCCACAUUGGGACUGAGGUACGGCCCAGACUCCUACAGGAGGCAGCAGUGGGGAAUAUUGCACAAUGGGCGGAAGCCUGAUGCAGCAACGCCGCGUGCGGGAUGACGGCCUUCGGGUUGUAAACCGCUUUCGCCUGUGACGAAGCGUGAGUGACGGUAAUGAGUAAAGAAGCACCGGCUAACUACGUG